AACGAACGCUGGCGGCAUGCCUAACACAUGCAAGUCGAACGAGACCUUCGGGUCUAGUGGCGCACGGGUGCGUAACGCGUGGGAACCUGCCCUUAGGUUCGGAAUAACUCCCCGAAAGGGGUGCUAAUACCGGAUAAUGUCUUCGGACCAAAGAUUUAUCGCCUUUGGAUGGGCCCGCGUUGGAUUAGCUAGUUGGUAGGGUAAAAGCCUACCAAGGCGACGAUCCAUAGCUGGUCUGAGAGGAUGAUCAGCCACACUGGGACUGAGACACGGCCCAGACUACUACGGGAGGCAGCAGUGGGGAAUAUUGGACAAUGGGCGAAAGCCUGAUCCAGCAAUGCCGCGCGAGUGAUGAAGGCCUUAGGGUUGUAAAGCUCUUUUACCCGGGAUGAUAAUGACAGUACCGGGAGAAUAAGCUCCGGCUAACUCCGUG
rnacentral:rRNA from 1 species